rnacentral:lncRNA from 1 species
UGGACUUUGCACACCACGUGUUCGUCUGUGCCCUGCAUGACGUCCUUGGAAGGCAGCAGCACCUGUGAGGUGGCUGCGUACUUGCCCCCUCUCAGGACUGAUGGGAAGCCCCGGGUGCUGCUGAUGUCAGAGUUGUUCUUGUAUUUCCAGGAGAAAGUGAUGGAGUCGGGAAGGAAGUCCUGUGCGAGGCAGCCAACGGCCACGCUGCUCGUAUCCGACGGGGAAUUCUCACAGGAGACGAGGGGGAAAAGGGUUGGGGCGGAUGCACUCCUGAGGAGACGGUGACCAGGGUUCCCUGGCCCCAGUAGUCAAAGUAGUCACAUUGUGGGAGGCCCCAUUAAGGGGUGCACAAAAACCUGAGUGUGUCUCGCACAGUAAUACACAGCCGUGUCUGCGGCGGUCACAGAGCUCAGCUUCAGGGAGAACUGGUUCUUGGACGUGUCUACGGAUAUGGUGACUCGACUCUUGAGGGACGGGUUGUAGUAGGUGCUCCCACUAUAAUAGAUACUCCCAAUCCACUCCAGCCCCUUCCCUGGGGGCUGGCGGAUCCAGCCCCAGUAGUAACUACUACUGCUGAUGGAGCCACCAGAGACAGUGCAGGUGAGGGACAGGGUCUCCGAAGGCUUCACCAGUCCUGGGCCCGACUCCUGCAGCUGCAGCUGGG